AAAUACAACAUGUAAAACAAAGAGAAGCAAAUUCCCAGAAACAAAACCAGCACAAAGGACAAACAAAGUGGUUUACAAUACUCCUUUCAUCAUCCAUAAUGAUCAAUGUCAACAACGCACAUAACAUGUUUAAAAGGAAGGUCACUAUUGGCUGUUGCAGUGCAAGAGAAAGCAGUGUGAGGAAUGUAAUGUUGGUCAGGAAUGUUGGUUCUUCUGACAUUUUGGAAGUAAGAGAGGGAGUGGCAAAGAGAAGAAGAUUUUCGCAAGGCCGGAAAGGGUGAAAAUUCUUUCCCAAAUGGGUAUCCGAUUGAUGGUGGUGACCAUGGCAGUGGUGAACCAUGUGUUCAGGCACCAAACCGCGGCUAGGAGCGUCAAGGUUACUCCAGUUUUGUCAAGCCAGC